CAGCCGUAAACUAUGCGCGUUAGGUGUAUCGGUGACCACGAGUUACCGAGGUGCCGAAGGGAAACCGUGAAACGUGCCGCCUGGGAAGUACGGUCGCAAGGCUGAAACUUAAAGGAAUUGGCGGGGGAGCACCACAACAGGUGGAGCCUGCGGUUUAAUUGGACUCAACGCCGGGAAGCUCACCGGAUAGGACAGCAGAAUGAUUGCCGGGCUGAAAGACCCUGCAUGACUAGCUGAGAGGUGGUGCAUGGCGUCAGUGACU
rnacentral:rRNA from 1 species